rnacentral:rRNA from 1 species
UAGCCGUAAACGAUACUCGCUAGGUGUCGGCCACGGUGCGACCGUUGUCGGUGCCGUAGGGAAGCCGUGAAGCGAGCCACCUGGGAAGUACGGCCGCAAGGCUGAAACUUAAAGGAAUUGGCGGGGGAGCACAACAACGGGUGGAGCUUGCGGUUUAAUUGGAUUCAACGCCGGAAAUCUUACCGGGACCGACAGCAACAUGAAGGCCAAGCUGAAGACUUUGCCGGAUUAGCUGAGAGGAGGUGCAAUGGCGUAGUCGUGU